rnacentral:lncRNA from 1 species
AAUAAUCAAAAAAAUACAUAAUUAACUGAAAUGAUCAUCAGUAAAAUACUACUUAGCUAUAAAAAGAAACAAACUUGAUAUGUGGCAAUAUUCAUGUUUAGGAGUAGGAUUUGGGGGAGAAUCAAUUUCAGCUAUCUCUUAUAGCUGAAAAUAUUCUUUUCUAAAGAUGUGAACUGAAAAAUCUUUUUUGAAUAUGGUGAAUGUUAUGGAAUCAAUAUCAUUACUUGAGGUGCUAUGGCUCCUUUAAGUUUAAAAACAAAUUGAAGUUGCAAACAAGGUCUGUAUGCUUAAAAAUAUCAAAAUGGUGAAGCUGUGAAAAGUUUUGGGCCACCCAUAAAUAUGAAAUAAGAUGAACAAGGGCAGAGAGGGAAGUGAAAAAUAAGGCUCUGCGGGGAUUUCAAGUCUUACAAAUUAACAUUUGAGCCUUAAUUUGCUCUAAGGGGGUCAGUGUUUUCACAUUUAAAAACAGUAUUCAGCCAUUGGAAAAGUGUCUUUGUCUACUACAGAAAAGGGAAGAGGGAAUUAUGACAGUGCCAGCAUAUGUAAGGUGGUAUUAGGCAAAAGGCAGCCUUCUCUGCAGCUCUGUGGCCGUGCUGCCAUCCUUGUGUAACAGAGGAGGAACUAAGGGUUAGUGAUAGUUCAUAGCCUGUCCAAGAGCUAACGCAAGGCUGAGCUCAGAUUUGAGCCCAGGUCCGAGACUCCAGAUUCCUGAUUACGUGUUUGAAAAGUCAUCAACUGUGGACUUCCUAUUGCUUUAGCAGUUUGCCCGACCCCCUUUCCUUUGCAUCCUUGGGAUAGUGGAAGGUUUUUGGAUAUUGUAAAUUUGUUUCAAUAAAAAGUUUGUAACUGUUUAUGACAGAAGUGCUGUCUCUGGACCAGGAACAUCAACAUUGCCUUGCUUGGGAACUUACUAGAAAUGCAGAAUUCUCAGGCACUACUCCUGACCUCCCAUGCAGAAACUCAAGACAUACCACUUGCAAAGAGAGGAGGAACAUAUUCUCAAACCAUCAGGAAGACCUUUUGGAGAAUUUCCUACUGUGACUGCUGUAAAAAUUCUGUGCAUUAUUAUAA